rnacentral:rRNA from 1 species
ACGGAGGGGACUAGCGUUGUUCGGAAUUACUGGGCGUAAAGCGCGCGUAGGCGGACUAUUAAGUCAGGGGUGAAAUCCCGGGGCUCAACCCCGGAACUGCCCUUGAUACUGGUAGUCUUGAGUUCGAGAGAGGUGAGUGGAACUCCGAGUGUAGAGGUGAAAUUCGUAGAUAUUCGGAAGAACACCAGUGGCGAAGGCGGCUCACUGGCUCGAUACUGACGCUGAGGUGCGAAAGCGUGGGGAGCAAACAGG